AGAGGUCCCGCCUGCCCUGUGACUCUAAGUUUAACGGCCGCGGUAUCCUGACCGUGCAAAGGUAGCGCAAUCACUUGCCUUUUAAAUGAGGGCCUGUAUGAAUGGCACCACGAGGGUUUAACUGUCUCCUUUUUCCAGUCAAUGAAAUUGAUCUCCCCGUGCAGAAGCGGGGAUGAGAACAUAAGACGAGAAGACCCUAUGGAGCUUUAGACACCAAGACGGCCCAUGUUAAACACCCCCAAACAAGGGACUAAACCAGAGGGUGCCCGUCCUAAUGUCUUUGGUUGGGGCGACCGCGGGGAAAUAAAAAACCCCCAUGUGGAAUGCAAGAACUUCCUGCUAAGACAAAGAGCCACCGCUCUAAUCAACAGAAAUUCUGACCAAUCAGAUCCGGCAAGGCCGAUCAACGGACCUAGUUACCCUAGGGAUAACAGCGCAAUCCUCUUUUAGAGCCCAUAUCGACAAGGGGGUUUACGACCUCGAUGUUGGAUCAGGACAUCCUAAUGGUGCAGCCGCUAUUAAGGG
rnacentral:rRNA from 1 species